GGUGAGUGUACGCAGCCUCUGUCGUACAGAGCAGGACAAGCCCGGAAGAGACGUCCAAAGUAGGCGGGGCGCCGUCACGUCGGAGUGGGCGGGGCGCCGUCACGUCGGAGUGGGCGGGGUGCGCGGGAAGCGGGCCGACUUUGCGCCCGCAAGGUCAACAACGUGCCACUUGGCCGCCUCCUCCCUCGCCCACCUCAGGAGUCCCCAGGGAGCGGAGCCAGAGAGGUGGGCUCCUGCCUAGAUCUCGCUCUCCUCCAGAAUCUCCUCCAUGGUGUGGACCAGGGUGAAGUCCCCCUCGCUGCUCUCCGACACGCUGCUGCCCCGGGGCCAGGCUGCGUGGCCUUGGCGGGGCAGGGCGCCCGCCGCCCCCAGGCCCUCCGCAGUCGAGUGCAGGAGACGCCCACCGUGGGGCGAGGGCCGCGCCUUUUGCAGCUUGCCGGAGCCGGUCCCCUCCGCGAGCUUCUUGGGACAUUUCUCUAGGAAUCGGAAGUUCUUCCCCAGGACCCAGGCUCUGCAGCCCGAGUGGUGGGCUAGCAAAAAGCGGGCCCACUGUUUCCGCAGCUCGGCCUUCACCUGCCAGUGCAGCUCCAGCGGGGCCAUGGUUGGGUUCUGGAAAGAAAACUCAUCCCAAUACCUUUCCCCACCGGUCUAAGAUGCCUGCUGCUCUCUCUCCUGGAUGUCUAUGGUACCCGUUUGUCCCAGGACGUGCUGGUCGCUGCACACACCCCCAUGGCACCAUCAUGUAAACCGAACUCUCCAGGGGCAGUAGGAUGCCGGCCCCAGCCUCGCAGGGAGCUAGGAUGGCAGCAUGGAAAACGUACCUCUCCAUUGGCAAAGCAAUACUGCAAGGCCACGAGUAGUCCCUGGAAUGAAAGGAAGAGGUGGCGUGAAGCUUGACUCAGUAGAAGGCAGAGGAUGGCUCUGGGGUGACGCCCCCACGUGACAUACCAGAAAGCAGACCCGGGGAGGCCAAGCAACUUGUCCAAGAGACCAGACAAGAGAAAAUGGGCAUCAACCACUGGGCUAUACGAAGGCAUCAACCACUGGGCUUCUUCACUGCCAUGGGAUGAAACACCAGCCUGGUGGACCAGAGAACCUCCAUCCAUCCAGGUGCCCCAGAAGACAGGGGUCGGCAAUCACAUUUGGAUGGGGCUGUUCAUGAUUUGUGCACCAGCAGGAAAGGGGCUGAAGGAGGAUUUUUUUUUUUUUUUUUUUUUUGCAGCGAACAGAGGGUUUAUUUGCAAGGCAGCCAAGCAAGGAGACAGGAGAACACAUCUCAAAUCCACCUCCCCAAGGCAAGAAGCUUGGGGUAUUUAUACAGGAUAACCAAUAAGGAAGCAGGGCGGUCUGAGGACUGGGGAGUGCGCAGAAAGAUGAUUAGAAAAAGGCACAAAAAUCCUCGUUCCGCGCAAGCGUUGGAAAUUUUUAAAGAACCCAGCCAACUCCUCUUGGAUUCUGUGACCAGAUGUGGGGCACUUAGGACCCCAACCAUAUAAGGCUCCUUUUCAGGUCCUAGAUGAUACAGAAUGCAUAUGAUCAGAUGUACCAUUCUUGGGGACAUUUCUUUGGCACCACCCCAGCUGCCAUGCUCUUAUCUGGGUCUACAAGUUGGCAGAGGUGGUUGCCAGCACGGUGGGGACUCAGAGGUAGGUCUCGUGUACCCCUAACUCCUCCAUCUCCCCCCAAGCCCCUCCUCCCCUGGCCCGCUAUAUAGACGAAAAUGCCUAUAUUAGAGCUACUCCUUUGGGUUAAAACCCUCCAUCCCCAAGAGCCCUGCUGAAGGGCACAUGCACUUAGCCUUAAUAAAGGGUUCAGCCUGCAAGGAGGAAGAGCUCACCAGGCAGAUGUAGGGCCAUCAGGUGGGCAUUCCAGGCAGAGAGGCAGUGUGUGCAAAGGCACAGGAGGCAUGAACUUCAGGAUGGAUUCGGGGGAACUGUGCAUUUCUCCGUAUAAAUGGAGCACGGGGUGCUUGUGGUUGGAUGGGAAUGACAAUACGUACCAUAUGAAGGAGUCUGGAACCACGCCCAAGGGCAGUAAUGAGCCAUUAAAAAGUCACACGUAGAAGAGAAACAUAGCCCAAUUUUGCUCAAGAAAGACCACUCUGGCCGCAAUACAGAGGAUGCAUUGCCAGGGGCAGGAAUGAGGAAGGAGACCAAAUAGGAGGCUUUUGCAAAGGUCUGCAUGAGAAACCCCAAGGGGCUGAAGAAGAACAAUGACAAUGGAUUGAGGAGAAGGAGAAAGCUUGGAGUGACCUUCAGAGGAAGAACUGACAAGACUUGAAGUCUGGCUGGAGGCUGCAGUGAGGCAGGAGAUAGAAGCUAGGAGGGCGCCCAGGUUUCCGGCUUGGGUGCCUGGUAGAUGGAUGGUGGCGUCAUUCACUGUGGGGUGAACAGGAGGAAGAGGGGGUGUGGAUGGGAGUACCAGGAACCACUGUGAGCUAAGGUGAUUCUGGCCAUUUCUGUGGAGCUGGCCACGACUGGAGUUGUAGAAGCAACAGCAGGUGAAGGUCAUUUCAUCCAAGAUGAAAAGACACAGCACAUUCUCUGGUCCUGGUGGGGGAAAAGGUGGCUCUAGGAACUAGGAAGCACCUGGAGAAACCAGCACACAGGUCAGCCAGCCAUGGACAACCAAGCAGCGAGGUCCAGAGCAAUUGUUCCAGCCCUGGCCACGGAUUACAAUCACUGCCCGGGUACCACCUCCAGAAUUUCGGAUGAAAUCCUCUGGGGUAUGAGCCACCACGAUGUUUCUAAUGCACAGCCAGUUGUGAGAACCGCUGGUGUGUGGGCACAGAGCUUCACAAACAUUAUUGUGCACCCAGUGCCCAGGAAUCCUGUUGCAAUGAAGAUUCUGAUUCUGCAGGUCCGGGGCGGGGCCUGGGAACCUGAAUUCAGAACAAGCACUCAGGAGACCACACCUGAGCUUCUCCUUAGACUCCCUAAGCCACAUCUGAGAUCAAUGAAUCACAAAUCUCAUGCAAGAAGAAUUUUUCAAGAUACCCAGGUGAUCCCAAGAGCAACCAAGAUGGAGAACCAGUGAUGUAGCCUCUGGAAGACUGCAUGCAGGGUAAGCACCAGGGAUCCAGCUGGAGCGAGUCUGCACCCCAUCCUAGGGAAGGCCAUCCUGCUUCAUUCUGCCUGGUUCAUGAGAACCUUCCAGGGCCCAGGAGUGUGGGUCACAAGCAUUUACUGACUAAGUUUCUGCAGAGCCUGCCGUAUGCUUGGGCUGGCCGCCAGGAUGAAUAAAACACAGGGCUUAUAGUGACAGCACACAGGCUUUAAACAAAUACUUGCAAUAAAACAUUGCUGGGGUCAUAGCAGAAGUCGGUACAGGAUCUGGGAAGGACACAGAGGAGGGUGUGACCAUCUCUACUUUGUGGGGUGGGUGUCCAGGUGGAUAAGAUGGCGGAGGGAGGCGGUUCCAACCUGAGGAGGGUCCAAAGCAAGGUACUAACGCGUGAAAAGCCCACAGUCCUGCAGGCAUGGGGGCUGGAGGCAGUAAGUGUUUGGGGGCAGCUGCACGAUGCUGCGGUUACAGGUGCUGGUGUCGCCCGAUGGGACCGAGAUCUGGCCCCCACUGACUAACUCUGUGACUUCAGACCAACCCUCAGCAUCCUCGCCAAUAAAAGAAACACAAUAGUAGCGCCUACCUCAUGGGCUUGUUGGGAAGAUGAGAUGAGUUCAUACGCACAGAGCGCUUAGAAGAGUAGGUAUGUAGGAGGCACUCAGUAAAUGUCAGCCGGCCGUUGGAGGUGGAGGUGGCCAGCCAGGAGCUGCGGCCGGGACCGCAGCGGGGCAGCGUGGCUGGAGAGGAGAGGA